rnacentral:rRNA from 1 species
GAUGAACGCUGGCGGCGUGCCUAAUACAUGCAAGUCGAGCGAACAGAUGAGGAGCUUGCUCCUCUGACGUUAGCGGCGGACGGGUGAGUAACACGUGGAUAACCUACCUAUAAGACUGGGAUAACUUCGGGAAACCGGAGCUAAUACCGGAUAAUAUAUUGAACCGCAUGGUUCAAUAGUGAAAGACGGUUUUGCUGUCACUUAUAGAUGGAUCCGCGCCGCAUUAGCUAGUUGGUAAGGUAACGGCUUACCAAGGCAACGAUGCGUAGCCGACCUGAGAGGGUGAUCGGCCACACUGGAACUGAGACCCGGUCCAGACUCCUACGGGAGGCAGCAGUAGGGAAUCUUCCGCAAAGGGCGAAAGCCUGACGGAGCAACGCCGCGUGAGUGAUGAAGGUCUUCGGAUCGUAAAACUCUGUUAUUAGGGAAGAACAAAUGUGUAAGUAACUAUGCACGUCUUGACGGUACCUAAUCAGAAAGCCACGGCUAACUACGUG